ACCUACGGGGGGCAGCAGUGGGGAAUAUUGCACAAUGGGGGAAACCCUGAUGCAGCAACGCCGCGUGAGUGAAGAAGUAUUUCGGUAUGUAAAGCUCUAUCAGCAGGGAAGAAGAAAGACGGUACCUGACUAAGAAGCCCCGGCUAACUACGUGCCAGCAGCCGCGGUAAUACGUAGGGGGCAAGCGUUAUCCGGAUUUACUGGGUGUAAAGGGAGCGUAGACGGCUGUGCAAGUCUGAAGUGAAAACUACGGGCUUAACCUGUAGACUGCAGUUGAAACUGGCUUUCUUGAGUGAAGUAGAGGG
rnacentral:rRNA from 1 species